rnacentral:rRNA from 1 species
UACGGAGGGUGCAAACGUUGCUCGGAAUCAUUGGGCGUAAAGCGCACGUAGGCGGCCCAGCAAGUCGGGUGUGAAAGCCCUCGGCUUAACCGAGGAAGUGCAUUCGAAACUACUGAGCUUGAAUACUGGAGAGGAUCGCGGAAUUCCCGGUGUAGAGGUGAAAUGCGCAGAUAUCAGGAGGAACACCGGUGGCGAAGGCGGUUCUCUGGGCCUGUACUGACGCUGAGGAACGAAAGCGUGGGGAGCGAACAGG